AGGUCCGUUGGUCAAGGGGUUAAGACACCGCCUUUUCACGGCGGUAACACGGGUUCGAAUCCCGUACGGACCUG
rnacentral:tRNA from 1 species